rnacentral:rRNA from 1 species
GAUGAACGCUGGCGGCGUGCCUAACACAUGCAAGUCGAACGGAGUUUUAAGACGGAAGUUUUCGGAUGGAAGACUUAAGACUUAGUGGCGGACGGGUGAGUAACGCGUGGGUAACCUGCCUCAUACAGGGGAAUAACAGUUAGAAAUGACUGCUAAAACCGCAUAAUAUGGCGAUACCGCAUGAUAUUGCCAUCAAAUAUUUAUAGGUAUGAGAUGGGCCCGCGUCUGAUUAGCCAGUUGGCAGGGUAAUGGCCUACCAAAGCGACGAUCAGUAGCCGGCUUGAGAGAGUGACCGGCCACAUUGGGACUGAGACACGGCCCAA